rnacentral:rRNA from 1 species
GAUGAACGCUGGCGGCGUGCCUAGUACAUGCAAGUCGAGCGAACGGACGAGAAGCUUGCUUCUCUGAUGUUAGCGGCGGACGGGUGAGUAACACGUGGAUAACCUACCUAUAAGACUGGGAUAACUUCGGGAAACCGGAGCUAAUACCGGAUGAUAUUCUGAACCGCAUGGUUCAAAAGUGAAAGACGGUCUUGCUGUCACUUAUAGAUGGAUCCGCGCUGCAUUAGCUAGUUGGUAAGGUAACGGCUUACCAAGGCAACGAUGCAUAGCCGACCUGAGAGGGGGGUCGGCCACACUGGAACUGAGACACGGUCCAGACUCCUACGGGAGGCAGCAGUAGGGAAUCUUCCGCAAUGGGCGAAAGCCUGACGGAGCAACGCCGCGUGAGUGAUGAAGGUCUUCGGAUCGUAAAACUCUGUUAUUAGGGAAGAACAUAUGUGUAAGUAACUGUGCACAUCUUGACGGUACCUAAUCAGAAAGCCACGGCUAACUACGUG